rnacentral:rRNA from 1 species
UACGGAGGGAGCAAGCGUUACUCGGAAUUACUGGGCGUAAAGGGCGCGUAGGUGGCCCGACAAGUCUGUGGUGAAAGCUCGAUGCUCAACAUCGAGUCGGCCAUAGAUACUGUUGGGCUGGAGCACUGUAGAGGCAGAUGGAAUUCCGGGUGUAGCGGUGGAAUGCGUAGAGAUCCGGAAGAACACCGGUGGCGAAGGCGGUCUGCUGGGCAGUAGCUGACACUGAGGCGCGACAGCGUGGGGAGCAAACAGG